CUUCUUUCAGACUUAUCACAUACUGCUAUCACAUUCUCUAAAGGGAAUGAGAACGAAGCAAAUUCAAUGGGACGGAUUUUCAAUUCUUUGCUCACAAUCAUACAUGAAUUUAAUCAUGGCAAGACAUAGAACUUUUACCCCUUCACGUGGUUAUAAUUCCUUACAAACUCCAUUAGAGUUAUAAUCAAACUUUGUUGUCUAUGUUUGUAUAUGAAAUCAAAUUG
rnacentral:lncRNA from 1 species